rnacentral:ncRNA from 1 species
UCCAAGGGGUGCUGGCCAGAGCCGGCUGAGACGGGGCGUGUUUCGCGCCGAUCCCUCGAACCUGAUCCGGGUAAUGCCGGCGUAGGAAUGCGAUCAUA